CGAAAGCCUGACGGAGCAACGCCGCGUGCGGGAAGAAGGCUCUUGGGCUGUCAACCACUUUUCUCAGGGAAGAAGUCCUGACGGUACCUGAGGAAUCAGCCUCGGCUAACUCCGUGCCAGCAGCCGCGGUAAUACGGAGGAGGCAAGCGUUAUCCGGAAUUAUUGGGCGUAAAGCGUCCGCAGGGGGCUCAUCAAGUCUGCUGUCAAAGGUCGGAGCUCAACUCCGGUUCGGCAGUGGAAACUGGUGGGCUAGAGGGCGGCAGGGGCAGAAGGAAUUCCCGGUGUAGCGGUGAAAUGCGUAGAUAUCGGGAAGAACACCAGAGGCGAAAGCGUUCUGCUGGGCCGCGCCUGACCCUGAGGGACGAAAGCCAGGGGAGCG
rnacentral:rRNA from 1 species